ensembl:lncRNA
AUGAAACGUUGUGAUGUUUGGCGAGCUGGAAUGACGAAGAUGACAGCCGGUGUGAAGAGAGUUCAAACAUCUGCAGAGAUGAAGGUGUUCGGACGGAUGCUUUUAGCUUCGUUACCAUCCUGUUCUUCUGUUUUCAGGUGGCAGGCAGAGGGGAAACCAAAUCAGUUGCCAACGGUAUGGGACACUAAUGUCUUGAAGGAGCCACUAAAGCUGGGGACCACGACAAUCCAAAAGUCUUCCUUUGACUUUUUUUCCCUGAAGAACCAAAUGAUGAUCCCCAACUCCACAGGAUGGCGGGCCGCUGUCCUCGCACUGUACUGAAACAGCAUGCAUUACCAGGGUUUGCCAAGUAUAGUGCCUUUGCACAAAAUUAUUAUUAUUAUUAAUAUUAUUGUUUAUUUUGCUUCCUAAAAAAAAAAAAGUCAAAACGCUGUGAAAUUUGGACGAUGGUCAUUAUCAAUCAGUUUAAAGAAAAACCCUGCCGGGAAGAAUUUAGAUUUCUGUAUUUCAGGCUAUGAUUUCAAUAACUUCCAAAGAGACGUUUGACACCAGUCCUCUCCUUCCUUCAGAAGAUUUUUUUCCUUUAAUUUAUAUUUAAAGCUUCACACAUGGUAUUUUAUUCAAGGUUCACCUGUUCAGGAUAGAUAUAAGCACUUAUAGAAGUAGCUGAACUCACUUAUUAUGUCUUAACAACAGUGCAGCAACGGUCUCAGUAAUAUAAGUUAGCACACGUGAUUAUUUUCAAUAUCAUACGUAUCAUUUAUAACAUCAGUAUACUCACAAAAAAAGGUAUUUUUCCUUCUUGUUUGUUUUUAGUAUCCAAAUCCAGAAGGCCAUUAUGACUUUUAUUAUCUUUUUGUCUCAUUUUAUUUAAGUUUUAAUGUGUUUUUUCUGGCUUUUUACUUAAAAAAAAAAAAAAAUCUUCAAACAUUCCUCUUUAAAAGCACGUGGUGCCUUCACUGCUUAAAGCUGUAGGUUUUUUUCUUUUAAUGUAAAGAAUAUGUGAAAACUUGUCACCUUUUUAUACUCUUGUCUUUACAGGAACUUCUUAAUUGUCGCUAUGCACAUUCCUAAAACAGAGUAAAAGGAUUGGAAGCAAACGAGCUUUGAAAGGGUCCAUGAACGCCUCGUAGCAACAGAAAGAUUUGGAGACUUUAGUGUUUAUUCACGCGCAGCAGCUGCAGCUUUGAUAAGAACACGAAGGGUUCAUCAGGGCAUUAAAUUGAUCGAUGUUUCUGCUCAAGAGUGACAAUCACAUUCCACGGCUCCUGAAAAGAGCAGGGGAGCUCGACCAAAACCUUUAGAAAAGUGAUCAAUGUGACGUUUGUGUUUUAAUAAUUUCUUAAUGCAGUUUGUUUUGUUUUUUUUUUUUUGUUUUUUUACAACUUUGUGUCCAUGUAUUUUUUUAUUCUUUUACUUAACCUGACACUUGUUUGUGUAGUGCUAAGCCUACAAAACAUGUUACCUGUAGUCUCUGCCAGUUUCAUAUGACUUUCAACUGGAUGAAUGUUUUUCAUAUUUUACCUUUGACUCAUCAGCAGCAAUAAAGACAAUAAAGACAUUGAAGUUUUCCAUGUUUUUGUUCCCUCUUCAUACAUGUUUCUAUUUUGUGUUUAGAAAGACAUCUUAACUAAGAAUUUAUUAAUCCCCUUAAACCCUUGUGGCUUUUCUCGUUGUGCUUCAGGGUCCCGUUUCAUGAAGC